rnacentral:rRNA from 1 species
UCAAGUGAAUAAGGGCUUACAGAGGAUACCUAGGCAUUUAGAAGCGAAGAAGGACGUGGCUACCGGCGAAACGCUUCGGGGAGCUGGAAGCAAGCUUUGAUCCGGAGAUAUCCGAAUAAGGAAACUUCAUUAGAACUUAUCAAGGAAUAAAUACUUGAUGGUAGAGCGAACCUGGAUAACUGAAACAUCUUAUUAACCAGAGGAAAAGAAAGUAAAAACGAUUCCCUUAGUAGCGGCGAGCGAAACGGGAUGAGCCUAAACUAAUUUAAUAAAUUAGGGUAGUGGGAAAACCAAAACAAAUUAACUUUUGAAUUAGAUGAAUCCUUUGGAAUGAGGAACCAUAGAAAGUGAUAGUCUUGUAAUCGAAAAUUCGAAAAUAAUUAGGUUUAAUCCCGAGUAGCAUGAGGCACGUGAAAUCUCGUGUGAAUCUGCGAGGACCACCUCGUAAGGCUAAAUAUUACUAAAUGACCGAUAGCGAAUAGUACCGUGAGGGAAAGGUGAAAAGAACCCCGGGAGGGGAGUGAAAAGAACAUGAAACUGUAAGCUUACAAGCAGUAAGAGGACGACUUAACGUCUGAUUGCGUGCCUGUUGAAGAAUGAGCCGGCGACUUAUACGUAAUGGCAGGUUAAUUGUUGAAGCCACAGCGAAAGCGAGUCUGAAUAGGGCGUUUGUCAUUGCUUAUAGACCCGAACCCGGAUGAUCUAACCAUGGCCAGGGUGAAGCUUAGGUAAAAUUAAGUGGAGGCCCGAACCGACUGAUGUUGAAAAAUCAGCGGAUGAGUUGUGGUUAGGGGUGAAAUGCCAAUCGAAUCCGGAGCUAGCUGGUUCUCCCCGAAAUGUGUUUUGGCGCAGCGGUUAAUUUUAAAAUUUGGGGGUAAAGCACUGUUUCGGUGCGGGCUGGUAACUCGGUACCAAAUCGAGGCAAACUAAGAAUACCAAAUUGAACAAUUAACUAGUAAGACUGUGGGGGAUAAGCUCCAUUGUCAAGAGGGAAACAGCCCAGACCAUCAGCUAAGGCCCCUAAAAGCUGCUAAGUGCGAAAGGCGGUGGGAGUGCAUAGACAACCAGGAGGUUCGCUUAGAAGCAGCUAUCCUUUAAAGAGUGCGUAAUAGCUCACUGGUCGAGUAAACCUGCACCGAAAAUGUACGGGACUAAGUAGUUUGCCGAAGCUAUGGGAUAAUCAUAUUAUUAUCGGUAGGGGAGCGUUCUGUUGUAGGUUGAAGCAUUAGUGAAAACGGGUGUGGACGAAGCAGAAGUGAGAAUGUUGGCUUGAGUAGCGAAAACAUUGGUGAGAAUCCAAUGCCCCGAAAACCUAAGGUUUCCUCCGGAAGGCUCGUCCGCGGAGGGUUAGUCAGGACCUAAGGCGAGGCCGAAUUGGCGUAGUCGAUGGAUAACAGGUAGAUAUUCCUGUACCACUUUUUAUUGACAAUGAGGGACGGAGCAGGCUAAUUUAGCUGGAUGUUGGUUACCAGUCUAAGCGUUUAGGUGAUGAGAGAUAGAGAAAAUAUCUUGAGCUAAGGCGUGAUGGGGAGAUACGUAAUUGUAUCGAAGUAAAUGAUGUCAUACUCCCAAGAAAAGCUUACACUGUCGUAAAUAUAAAGUGCCUGUACCCUAAACCGACACAGGUAGGUGAGUAGAGAAUACUAAGGGGCGCGAGAUAACUCUCUCUAAGGAACUCGGCAAAAUAACCCCGUAACUUUGGGAGAAGGGGUGCCUUAUAGGCUGCAAUAACAAGGCCCAAGCGACUGUUUACCAAAAACACAGGUCUCCGCAAAGUCGCAAGACAAUGUAUGGGGGCUGACGCCUGCCCAGUGCCGGAAGGUUAAGGACGUUGGUUAGUCAACAGACAAAGCUAGCAACCGAAGCCCCGGUGAACGGCGGCCGUAACUAUAACGGUCCUAAGGUAGCGAAAUUCCUUGUCGGGUAAGUUCCGACCUGCACGAAAGGCGUAACGAUUUGGGCACUGUCUCGGAGAGAGACUCGGCGAAAUAGACUUGUCUGUGAAGAUGCGGACUACCUGCACCUGGACAGAAAGACCCUAUGAAGCUUUACUGUAGCUUGGAAUUGAUUUCAAACUUUAUUUGCGUAGGAUAGGUGGGAGGCUAUGAAGAUAAUCUUCUGGGAUUAUUGGAGCCGUCCUUGAAAUACCACCCUAAUAAUGUGAGAACUCUAACUUUUCGCUGUUAUCCAGCAGAAGGACAGUUUCAGGUGGUCAGUUUGACUGGGGCGGUCGCCUCCUAAAAGGUAACGGAGGCGUACAAAGGUUUCCUCAAAUCGGUCAGAAAUCGAUUGUAGAGCGCAAAGGCAAAAGGAAGCUUGACUGUGAGACCAACAAGUCGAACAGAGACGAAAGUCGGUCUUAGUGAUCUGACGGUUCCGAGUGGAAGGGCCGUCACUCAACGGAUAAAAGUUACUCUAGGGAUAACAGGCUGAUCUCCCCCAAGAGUUCACAUCGACGGGGAGGUUUGGCACCUCGAUGUCGGCUCGUCGCAUCCUGGGGCGGUAGUACGUCCCAAGGGUUGGGCUGUUCGCCCAUGAAAGCGGUACGCGAGCUGGGUUCAGAACGUCGUGAGACAGUUCGGUCCAUAUCCGGUGUAGGCGUUAGAAUAUUGAGAGGAUUCUUCUCUAGUACGAGAGGAUCGAGAAGAACGUACCUCUAGUGUGCCAGUUAUUGUGCCAACAGUAAACGCUGGGUAGCUAUGUACGGAGUGGAUAACCGCUGAAAGCAUCUAAGUGGGAAGCCCACCUCAAGAUGAGUAUUCUUAUCUAGAAGAUAUAAGGUUACGGCAAGACUAGCCGUUUAAUAGGUACUAUGUGAAAGUACAGUAAUGUAUUUAGCAGAGGUAUACUAACAAACCGAAUGCUUGAAUUC